rnacentral:rRNA from 1 species
UACGGGGGGGGCAAGCGUUGUUCGGAAUUACUGGGCGUAAAGGGCUCGUAGGUGGCCAACUAAGUCAGACGUGAAAUCCCUCGGCUUAACCGGGGAACUGCGUCUGAUACUGGAUGGCUUGAGUUCGGGAGAGGGAUGCGGAAUUCCAGGUGUAGCGGUGAAAUGCGUAGAUAUCUGGAGGAACACCGGUGGCGAAGGCGGCAUCCUGGACCAUGACUGACACUGAAAAGCGAAAGCCAGGGGAGCAAACGGG